rnacentral:rRNA from 1 species
UGGAGNCAUGUGGUUUAAUUCGAUGCAACGCGAAGAACCUUACCUACUCUUGACAUCCACAGAAUUCGGCAGAGAUGCCUUAGUGCCUUCGGGAACUGUGAGACAGGUGCUGCAUGGCUGUCGUCAGCUCGUGUUGUGAAAUGUUGGGUUAAGUCCCGCAACGAGCGCAACCCUUAUCCUUUGUUGCCAGCGCGUAAUGGCGGGAACUCAAAGGAGACUGCCGGUGAUAAACCGGAGGAAGGUGGGGAUGACGUCAAGUCAUCAUGGCCCUUACGAGUAGGGCUACACACGUGCUACAAUGGCGUAUACAAAGAGAAGCGAACUCGCGAGAGCCAGCGGACCUCAUAAAGUACGUCGUAGUCCGGAUCGGAGUCUGCAACUCGACUCCGNGAAGUCGGAAUCGC